UAGAUGCGAGAGUAGAGCAUAUCAAUAAGCGGAGGAAAAGAAACUAACAAGGAUUCCCUUAGUAACGGCGAGUGAAGCGGGAAGAGCUCAAAUUUGAAAUCUUCAAGGUUCUACCUUGACGAAUUGUAGUUUAAAGAAGUGUUUUCUGUUGGAGUUUUGGUAAAAGUUCUUUGGAAUAGGACAUCAUAGAGGGUGAGAAUCCCGUAUUUGACCAUUAUCUUCCAGCUUUGUGAUACACUUUCAAAGAGUCGGAUUGUUUGGGAAUGCAGUCCAAAAUGGGUGGUAAAUUUCAUCUAAAGCUAAAUAUUGGCGAGAGACCGAUAGCGAACAAGUACCGUGAGGGAAAGAUGAAAAGAACUUUGAAAAGAGAGUUAAACAGUACGUGAAAUUGUCAAAAGGGAAGCGUUUGACACCAGUGUUGUUUUUCCGAAAAUCAAUUACGAAUGUUUUAUUUUUGAGGAGUUAUGACUUCAUCGGCUUGCUCCUUUCUUUACUGAAACUUUCUUAAUGCACUUUUCGGUUAACAAGUCAACAUCAAUUUCUUUUGUUGUAAAAGGGUAUGAGGAAGGUGGCUUUCUUUUCGGAAGAAAGUGUUUAUAGCCUUGUGCCUCUGCAAUCGGAGAGAUUGAGGUCUGCAGCGUAGAUCCUUCGGGGUUAGAUACGUUUGUGCUAAGUUAUAGCUUUUCAUAGACAACUUGUUGACUAUGUUUAGUCUUGUAGCUUACUCGCUUACGCUAUUUUACCUACGCUUAGGAUGUUGACGAGACUGUCGAUCUC
rnacentral:rRNA from 1 species